UUGGAUGGGACUUAAAUCAAUGUGCGUGUCCCAAUUGCUGACGUUCCCCGGUACCGUAAUCGAAAAGGUCACAUUACCACUAAUACACUAGCCGUGUGUGACCCCCAGCUCAGAUUCACUUACCUCCUUCCUGGCUGGGAAGGCUCGGCAGCCGAUUCAAGGAUUUAAGGGAUGCAAUCAGCCGACCUUUAGGUCUGAAAGUACCCAAAGGAUGUUACUAUCUAUGUGAUCAAGCAUACCCAAAUGCCGAAGGUUUCUUGACACCGUACAAAGGUGUCCGCUACCAUCUCAAGGAAUGGGGGGUCGGAAGGCAAGCACCCCAAACACCGGAAGAGCUUUUCAACCUUAGACACUCCAAGGCGAGGAAUGUCAUCGAAAGAUCAUUCGCGGUGCUGAAGAUGCAAUGGGGAAUCCUAAGGUCAGCAAGCUUUUAUCCGAUAGAUGUUCAAACUGGGCUCAUAAUCGCAUGCUUUCUUCUACACAAUUAUAUACGAAGUGAAAUGGUAGUUGAUCCUGUCGAGGCUGAGCUGGUUAAUGAGGCUGAUAUUGAUGAUGAAACUGCCAACGAUCCUUUGUUAUGUGGUGAUAAUAUCAGUAGCGUGGAACCAUCGGCAUUAUAGACCCAAAAAAGGGAUGAUCUUGCAAUGGAAAUGUGGGGAGACAUAAAUAAUGGACAAGUUUGAAUGCCUAUGCAAAUGGACACCUUAUUCUUUUCAGUGUUGAGAUAGGUUGUGCGAAGUGAAGUUACUUUCUUGUAUUUUUUUAUAAUUCAUUACUUAUUUUCACCUUAUUCAAGCUGUAAGACAUUUUAUUCCACAAUGCAGAGGCUUCAAUUUUUUUCCCA